rnacentral:rRNA from 1 species
GAUGAACGCUGGCGGUGUGCUUAACACAUGCAAGUCGAACGGAAAGGCCCAAGCUUGCUUGGGUACUCGAGUGGCGAACGGGUGAGUAACACGUGGGCGAUCUGCCCUGCACUUCGGGAUAAGCCUGGGAAACUGGGUCUAAUACCGGAUAGGACGACGGUUUGGAUGCCACUGUGGAAAGUUUUUUCGGUGUGGGCUGAGCUCGCGGCCUAUCAGCUUGUUGGUGGGGUAAUGGCCUACCAAGGCGUCGACGGGUAGCCGGCCUGAGAGGGUGUACGGCCACAUUGGGACUGAGAUACGGCCCAGACUCCGACGGGAGGCAGCAGUGGGGGAGAUUGCACAAUGGGCGCAGGCCUGAUGCAGCGACGCCGCGUGGGGGAUGACGGCCUUCGGGUUGUAAACUCCUUUCGCUAGGGACGAAGCGUUUUUGUGACGGUACCUGGAGAAGAAGCACCGGCUAACUACGUG